rnacentral:rRNA from 1 species
UACGAGGGGGGCUAGCGUUGCUCGGAAUCACUGGGCGUAAAGCGCACGUAGGCGGCUUCUUAAGUCAGGGGUGAAAUCCUGGAGCUCAACUCCAGAACUGCCCUUGAUACUGAGGAGCUUGAGUCCGGGAGAGGUGAGUGGAACUGCGAGUGUAGAGGUGAAAUUCGUAGAUAUUCGCAAGAACACCAGUGGCGAAGGCGGCUCACUGGUCCGGUACUGACGCUGAGGUGCGAAAGCGUGGGGAGCAAACAGG